rnacentral:rRNA from 1 species
GGCGAACUUAACGCGUUAGCUUCGAUACUGCGUGCCAAAUUGCACCCAACAUCCAGUUCGCAUCGUUUAGGGCGUGGACUACCAGGGUAUCUAAUCCUGUUUGCUCCCCACGCUUUCGUGCCUCAGUGUCAGUGUUGGUCCAGGUAGCUGCCUUCGCCACGGAUGUUCCUCCUGAUCUCUACGCAUUUCACUGCUACACCAGGAAUUCCGCUACCCUCUACCACACUCUAGUCGCCCAGUAUCCACUGCAGUUCCCAGGUUGAGCCCAGGGCUUUCACAACGGACUUAAACGACCACCUACGCACGCUUUACGCCCAGUAAUUCCGAGUAACGCUUGCACCCUUCGUAUUACCGCGGCUGCUGGCACGAAGUUAGCCGGCGCUUAUUCUUUGGGUACCGUCAUCCCAACCGGGUAUUAACCAGCUGGAUUUCUUUCCCAACAAAAGGGCUUUACAACCCGAAGGCCUUCUUCACCCACGCGGUAUGGCUGGAUCAGGCUUGCGCCCAUUGUCCAAUAUUCCCCACUGCUGCCUCCCGUAGGAGUCUGGACCGUGUCUCAGUUCCAGUGUGGCUGACCAUCCUCUCAGACCAGCUACGGAUCGUCG